rnacentral:rRNA from 1 species
UACGGAGGAUCCAAGCGUUAUCCGGAUUUAUUGGGUUUAAAGGGUGCGUAGGCGGAUUGAUAAGCUAGAGGUGAAAUGUCCGAGCUCAACUCGGGAACUGCCUCUAAUACUGUUGAUCUAGAGAGUAGAUGCGGUAGGCGGAAUGUAUGUGUAGCGGUGAAAUGCUUAGAGAUCAUACAGAACACCGAUUGCGAAGGCAGCUUACCAAUCUAUAUCUGACGUUGAGGCACGAAAGCGUGGGGAGCAAACAGG